rnacentral:rRNA from 1 species
UGGGGAAUCUUAGACAAUGGGCGCAAGCCUGAUCUAGCCAUGCCGCGUGAGCGAUGAAGGCCUUAGGGUUGUAAAGCUCUUUCGUGGGGGAAGAUAAUGACUGUACCCCAAGAAGAAGCCCCGGCUAACUCCGUGCCAGCAGCCGCGGUAAUACGGAGGGGGCUAGCGUUGUUCGGAAUUACUGGGCGUAAAGCGCACGUAGGCGGAACAGAAAGUCAGAGGUGAAAUCCCAGGGCUCAACCUUGGAACUGCCUUUGAAACUCCUGAUCUUGAGGUCGAGAGAGGUGAGUGGAAUUCCGAGUGUAGAGGUGAAAUUCGUAGAUAUUCGGAGGAACACCAGUGGCGAAGGCGGCUCACUGGCUCGAUACUGACGCUGAGGUGCGAAAGCGUGGGGAGCAAACA